UAAUUGAAGAGUUUGAUCAUGGCUCAGAUUGAACGCUGGCGGCAGGCCUAACACAUGCAAGUCGAGCGGCAGCACAAGGGAGUUUACUCCUGAGGUGGCGAGCGGCGGACGGGUGAGUAAUGCCUAGGGAUCUGCCCAGUCGAGGGGGAUAACAGUUGGAAACGACUGCUAAUACCGCAUACGCCCUACGGGGGAAAGGAGGGGACCUUCGGGCCUUCCGCGA
rnacentral:rRNA from 1 species